rnacentral:lncRNA from 1 species
GUUGUUCGCUCUGGCAUCUAAUCUCAUAAUGAGGACGGCUCAUUAUCGGCCUGACGAGAGUCCCUUUCCCCACUGACCGCGCCGCAGCUCGGCGGGUGCUUGGGGCCAAGGAGAACUUUCUCCCCGUGCUCCUUCCCUGCCCUCCAUCCCACCCCACCCCGAGAACCUCGGCAAGCCCUCAGCGAAGCGCAGGACUAAUGGACACCCAGUGCUCGGCGAGCCAUUUCCCCAUUUUCCUCUGGUUUUGAGCAUGCCUGUGGCUUUAAUGGAAAUAGAUUUAUGUCUAGACAGGCAACCUGUGUAUUGUUCCAGCCAAGCUAGGAUUAAAAUGACCCUGGCGAUGCAAGGAUCAGAUCAACUGGAAAGUCUGAAAAGUGGGAGUUAAUGGGAGUGCUGCUGUCAGCCUUCUGUACAGACUCCGGAGGGAAUUUGGAUAAACCAUGGAACCAUGAAAUACUAUAGGUGUGGUGAAACUGGCCAUGUAGCCAUCAACUGCAACAAGACCAGUGAAGUCAACUACUGUUGCUGUGGUGAGUCAGGGCACCUUGCACGCGAAUGCACAAUUGAAACUACAGCCUAAUUAUUUCCCUUUGUCCCCCCUCUCCUUUUCCUGACUGGUGGUUGUAUUGUUUGGAUGGAAUUGUAUGAACCUUUUACCUUUUCCACAAAUCCCAGAUUUCCAAAUCUUGAG